rnacentral:rRNA from 1 species
CAGCAGCCACGGUAAUACAGAGGGUGCGAGCGUUAAUCGGAUUUACUGGGCGUAAAGCGUGCGUAGGCGGCUUCUUAAGUCGGAUGUGAAAUCCCUGAGCUUAACUUAGGAAUUGCAUUCGAUACUGGGAAGCUAGAGUAUGGGAGAGGAUGGUAGAAUUCCAGGUGUAGCGGUGAAAUGCGUAGAGAUUUGGAGGAAUACCGAUGGCGAAGGCAGCCAUCUGGCCUAAUACUGACGCUGAGGUACGAAAGCAUGGGGAGCAAACAGGAUUAGAUACCCCAGUAGUCCCUGUCUCUUAUAC